rnacentral:ncRNA from 1 species
GUCCUGCUUCCAAACUGUCCCCGUAUGGAGUGCGUGCCUGUAGCGGGCUAGGAAGUAGAGCCGCU